rfam:Longilinea arvoryzae DNA, scaffold: Larv_scaffold_1, strain: KOME-1.
GGCGACGUGGCCAAGUGGCAAGGCAAGGGUCUGCAAAACCCUGAUCAUGGGUUCAAAUCCCAUCGUCGCCU